rnacentral:rRNA from 1 species
GGGUCGAGGCUGAGAAUCUAAGCGCCGGUAAACGGCGGUGGUAACUAUAACCAUCCUAAGGUAGCGAAAUUCCUUGUCGGGUAAGUUCCGACCUGCACGAAUGGCGUAACGACUUCCCCGCUGUCUCAACCACAGGCCCGGCGAAAUUGCAGUACGAGUAAAGAUGCUCGUUUCGCGCAGCAGGACGGAAAGACCCCGGGACCUUCACUAUAGCUUGGCAUUGGCGUUUGGAGCGUCUUGUGUAGGAUAGGUGGGAGACUGUGAAGCCGGCACGCCAGUGUCGGUGGAGUCGUUGGUGAAAUACCACUCUGGUCGUUUUGAGCGUCUAACCCGCGCCCCUGGAUCGGGGUGGGGGACAGUGCCUGGUGGGUAGUUUAACUGGGGCGGUUGCCUCCUAAAGGGUAACGGAGGCGCCCAAAGGUUCCCUCAGCCUGGUUGGCAAUCAGGUGGUGAGUGCAAGGGCACAAGGGAGCUUGACUGUGAGACGGACGUGUCGAGCAGGUGCGAAAGCAGGGCCUAGUGAUCCGGCACCGGCGUGUGGAAGCGGUGUCGCUCAACGGCUAAAAGGUACCCCGGGGAUAACAGGCUGAUCUUCCCCAAGAGUCCAUAUCGACGGGAUGGUUUGGCACCUCGAUGUCGGCUCGUCGCAUCCUGGGGCUGGAGUAGGUCCCAAGGGUUGGGCUGUUCGCCCAUUAAAGCGGCACGCGAGCUGGGUUUAGAACGUCGCGAGACAGUUCGGUCCCUAUCCGCUGCGCGCGUAGGAGAAUUGAGAGGGUCUGUCCCUAGUACGAGAGGACCGGGACGGACGGACCUCUGGUGUGCCAGUUGUCCCGCCAGGGGCACGGCUGGUUGGCUACGUUCGGUCGGGAUAACCGCUGAAAGCAUCUAAGCGGGAAGCCUUCCUCGAGAUGAGUUCUCCCACCCCUCGUGGGUGUAAGGCCCCCAAGAGACGAUUGGGUUGAUAGGCCGGGGAUGGAAGCGCCGUAAGGUGUGGAGUCGACCGGUACUAAUAGGCCGAGUGGCUUGAACACAC